rnacentral:lncRNA from 1 species
CUUUUCCCUCUUUCAGCACUUCUUCAGAAUGUAUUCUGAAAAUAAGGAAGCUGUGCCAUGGUUAUUAACUGCAAAAUGAAUCUGAAUAUUUACAGUGCGUGACAUAGAGAAUAUAUUCCUAACAGGUAACAGGAAGUCAGAACUGAGCUGUAGUAGAUGAUGAAAAUCUCCCUUCAGCUAUAGAGAUUACAGUAUAUAAGAUCUUAACACAUACGAGUCUUCACUGCACCCAGGAAUUUCCAGCUGCAUAUUUUUCCUAAAAUGGAGUUUA